rnacentral:miRNA from 1 species
AAGUGAUUAUAUGGAGAAGCAC